AGCAGCCGCGGUAAUUCCAGCUCCAAUAGCGUAUAUUAAAGUUGUUGCAGUUAAAAAGCUCGUAGUUGAAUUUCGGGGUUCUACCGUUGGUCAGGCUAUUGUUUGUACUGGCGUGUAGAAUUUCUACCUUCUGGGGAACUAUCAUGUUAUUAAUUUAGCGUGGUAGGAAACCAGGACCUUUACCUUGAAAAAAUUAGAGUGUUUAAAGCAGGCAAUCGCUUGAAUACAUUAGCAUGGAAUAAUGAAAUAGGACGUUCGAUCCUAUUUUGUUGGUUUCUAGGAUUGACGUAAUGAUUAAUAGGGAUAGUUGGGGGCAUUAGUAUUCAAUUGUCAGAGGUGAAAUUCUUGGAUUUAUUGAAGACUGACUACUGCGAAAGCAUUUGCCAAGGAUGUUUUCAUUAAUCAAGAACGAAAGUUAGGGGAUCGAAGACGAUCAGAUACCGUCGUAGUCUUAACCAUAAACUAUGCCGACUAGGGAUCGGAUGAUGUUAAUUUUAUAAUGACUCA
rnacentral:rRNA from 1 species